rnacentral:rRNA from 2 species
GUGCGAGACCGAUAGCGAACAAGUACCGUGAGGGAAAGAUGAAAAGAACUUUGAAAAGAGAGUUAAAGAGUACCUGAAACUGCUGAAAGGGAACCGAAUCGUUUCCAGUGUCUAUAAUCCGUGGCAUAUUUCAUUGGCGAGUGUGCGCGUGCGUGUGCUGUGGCAGCGGCCUUUUUGGUUGCGCUCGGCGCGUGUGCUGUGUGUGCUUGCUGGUGCCCUGUGCUGCGGUGGGACGUCAAGGUCAGUUCGUAUGCUGCGGGAAAUGGCUGCCGAGGAGGUAGGGCUUACGCUCCGCGUUUGUCUGUUAUAUCUUGGUGGACGAGUCGUCGCGGUUGGGACUGAGGUGCCUACAGCGUGCUUUUGAGUGGGUCUGUGUCUCCGUGUGCGCCGUGUGCGGAUAGCUUGCUAUGCGUGUGUGGUUGUGUGUGGAUUGAUGCGGGCUUUAACUUGUUGCUGUUCGGGACUUUGA